CCACUGCCAGUGUGGCCCGAAAGGGAUAACUGGACGCGGAUAAGCCGGUAGUGCCGCGAUGCAGGAAAACACCGGCAGCC
rnacentral:ncRNA from 1 species